UAUCUAGACAAAAGAAAUCUCUAUCAUGACUGCUACCUUGGUAGGUUGAUAAGAAAUCACUCCAGCAAUGGUCAGUGCUUGAUACUUAUAUAUAUUUAUAAAGUAUACUUGAAACCGUGAGGUCUGGUAUCGAUACAAUGACAAUCGAGAAAGUAUCGAUACUCAGUAUCACCCAAUCAAUCAUGUAACACUUUGUUUUGUUUUGAUAUUCAACCUAAUUUUCAACUAAAGCUGCUCAAAAAUAUAUACUUAAUGUUGCAAAUGAAAAACAAAACAAACAAUGAACCCAAAAAAAGUGCCACUGCGCUACUGGAGUUUCAAUUUGAUAGAGCGAAAUAAGAAAUUGGACAAUGAAUGAUUAUCACAGAAGUCCAAAUAGUCAUGCAAGGGGCAAUAUGGAUCUUCUGAAAAUUGCGCAAAAACUUGUUGCUGCUCUUCAUUUCAAAUCUUCUGGCAUCCCUGAUCAUUGUUAUGUCGCUGUCAUGUCAGCAUCCAUCAUUCAGUCUUCAGUUUUUUUAAUUUAUUCCGCGGCUUUAGUCUCCAGUGUUAUUGUGUUGCUUGUCUCUGUUUAUCGGUUUUGAUCGUUUUGAUUGAGUGUUCACGAGUGAGGAAAUUACUUCUGCGUGGUACAAACCGUCGAAGCUAGCGGUCACUGUGGUUCCGUAGAAUUCAGGAAAGGCAGCUAACUCAAUUUAAGAAUUUGGCUUUUAUCAUUUGCUAGAACAUAACGGAACUUCAAUGAAAUUUACACCAAAGGAAGAUGGUGCAUUUGACCGCGAUGAGUAGUUGCUGGAGGAGUGAUUACUGAUGAUGCGGGAGGAGAGGAUGGAACAAUGUAGCUACAACAAAACGACAACAUAGAAAAAGAAAGGUGUAAAAGAUUGUGUAUUAGGCCACUUUCUGCAUAGUUUUAAGUUAUAUAUAUUGUUCAUUCAAUAGCAAGCUUAAUCAGUAAUCUGUAAAUCUGUAUUAGGACAUAAAAAAAGAUUCAACAUCAUGUAUUCCUACUGAAUGUACGAAAAUAGAAUGAUUUUUAUUUAAUAAAAGGCACUU